UGUUCCCAGAAGCUACAACAAUCACAAGCUAUCAUAUUAACACCCCUUUUUUUAAUAAGGUAAGGAACAGUGGUAGGACCUCCAGCUCAAAUUAAAUCGUCAGACCAUUUUAUUUUUUUUGUUGUUUUUGUCUCUUUCCCCCAACAGUAUCUCUAAUAUUUUUAAACGCAUUCAGUUUUGUUUCCUAACAGAUUUAGUCAUGGUGGAUUGGACUUCCAUAUAUCAAGUAUAAUCGUCUUAGUGCAGUUUUCCUGUGCAGAAUAUUAAGAGUUGCUAUAAAAUAACGCACCUGAAAGCAUUCCUUUAAGAACUGAGUCAAGUGAAUGAGUCAUUUAAAGCCCUUUUCAAAGCAGCUUAUUGCUUCCAUGUGGCAAUGAUUCAGGCUGGAUUUCCUCCUUGACUAUAGAAAUAUUUGACAUAGAAUUACUAAAUGUUUGUGAGGCAAAGGUGAGCUAAAGUGCUUGGAGUUGAUUUGGAACAUUUCAUCUGAAAGAUGAUGUACAGAUUAAAUAAACAGACUUUAGUUUUGGAUUUAAUAUAAUAGAAACUUCAGCCAUGAUCAUUUCUUCCCAUAUUUUUGUCACUAAUGGGUAUACCUUUUCUAAAAUUGGUCAACGAUGGAGUCCUGCUGGAGGUGACGUGUUGACCGUAAUAAGUGGGAGAGAGUUUGGAGAACAGAAAGCUUCAGUUUCAUCUUCAGCUUAUUUCAAUCCUAUCUUUCCGCAAGAAGUGCCCCGUCAAGUUUUGAAUCACAACAGUCUGUUUUAGCUUCAGGUCCGGAUGGGACGGCUUCUGGGUCUGGAUCCGGACUGUGGUCCGCCACUUAGCGACCUCUGGACUAGAAUAUACUGACAGAGGAAUAUACCUACUGGGACAUCUCACUUGAAUAAAAUAAAGGACUGCUCUCAUUCCCACGAUUUGGUUAAAGAAGACUGAUCAACCUUAUCAGAUUUCACCCAAACAACUCUUUUUAUUAUAGCCAUUGUAUAAACUUCAUCCUUUGCUCAUCUUUAAUAUCCAGACUGUCAUGGGGUGAUAGCCAGAAUGAGGGUUGUACUCAAAAGCGGGAUUCAGAGAAAUAAAAGAUUUUAUUUUUGGCAGCAGAGGGACUUAGUU
ensembl:lncRNA